UACGGAGGGAGCUAGCGUUGUUCGGAAUUACUGGGCGUAAAGCGCACGUAGGCGGCUUUUUAAGUCAGGGGUGAAAUCCCGGGGCUCAACCCCGGAACUGCCUUUGAAACUGGAGAGCUAGAAUCUUGGAGAGGCGAGUGGAAUUCCGAGUGUAGAGGUGAAAUUCGUAGAUAUUCGGAAGAACACCAGUGGCGAAGGCGACUCGCUGGACAAGUAUUGAGCGCUGAGGUGCGAAAGCGUGGGGAGCAAACAGGAUUGAGAA
rnacentral:rRNA from 1 species